rnacentral:lncRNA from 1 species
GUCUCCGUCUUUGCUCGUCAAAUGGAAGCGAUCUAGAGAAAGUACGGAAAUUAAACUGCCCCUUACCAGGUAGUGAUGGAGCUCAUGGACGUCUUGUCCUAGGCAAGUUAACCCAGCUGGCUCCCGAGGGACUGCCGCGUAUCACCCGAACACGGUCACGGAGCUUGUCACAUUCUGACUGGAACCAACCCUACUUCUGCCUCCUAAUCAAAACAUCUACCCUAACUGUACCUCAAGCUCCUUGCAACAUCAGAAAGAAAGCCAUCCAAUGACAACAGAAGAUGAAGUCCAUGGCCCUCCACCUUUGCACAUAUACUUGCUGCUCCUAGUGAUUUGAUCCUGAUUGAGAACCUUUGCCCAAGCUGAUCUCCCUGCUUCAGGUAUCUU